ACUUCAUACCGUGCCGGUCGCUGAUAAACGCGCUAGAGAAAUAGUAGCUGGGCCUCCGGCAAGUACUGCGCUCUCGAAUUUUGCAGCCCGAUAGCAGCGCUGCUAAAGGUUUAUGCUGGAAAACAGAUACGAUAGCAACCGGUGUGAAAACGGGUGAGUGAGCAAAAUCGAUAAGUAUCGAUUCCAGGAUGCAGCAAGCCGUUUCACCUAACUUUUGAUAUCGACAGUAUCGAUAAUAGUAUCGCCCACCCCGUCACUUGUAUUCCAAAUGCAUUGCAAAACAAAUAUUUAUGUCAAAGAAUUAGAAACCUUAUAUUUAUAAUAAGUUCUACAUUAUCAAAUGGCACAAGUGAUUGCAUUAAGGACAAGUGACUAGAGCACUUAUUUCUGCAAACAUUUCUGAUAUCAAAACAUUCAAUAUUUCCGUCACAUAUAAUAACUUACUUUGUCAAGGAAUAUUUCUUUGUAUGGAUUAGAGUUAGAUGAAUCGUCAACCGUUUCAUAAGCCGUAUAAAAUCUCUCUCCUUGAGGUCUAAAAACGUUUCAAGGUCAUCGAUUCCUUCAGCAACUGGAAUAAAUGGAAAAGGCUGGUUAUUUUUAGGUCGUAUUUUGUGUGAAAUGUAAAGUACUUAUAAUACUAAUAAUUUUGAUUAAAAAAUCGUCGCGAUAUGAACUUCUUAUCAUUGUUCUCUGCUGUCCAUAAGGAAAAUGUAAAAUUCAUCGUAACCGACGGUAUUACAGGUUUGAAGCAAAAGGCAGACUGUGUUAUCAAAUUGCACCAGUUCUUGUAUUAUACCGUAAGAUGGAAAAAACAUAUUGUGAUGAGUUUUCAGGGCUACAAUCAGAUUUUUUCGAAAUUCUAUUCCAUUCAAAGUAACAGAUUUCGGACAACUUACAACUGCAAUAUGUUGUGGUAAGAAUACAUGGCUUUGUGUAUGUUCUUUAAGCUUCACUGGUCCCGAUGAGAAAGUGAGUUUAUCGCGGAAAGGAUUAUCGAUCACAUCUACCACCAUUCUAAAGCAUUGCCGCUCUCCUAUGCUUUUGCAGAUGUUUUUGAAAUUCCGACAAGUAGCUGCCUGCCCUUUUAGAGGUUUAUUUUUUUGUUCAAA